UUGUUAAUUUGAUUAUUAUCCACCGGUGUCUACCGCGGUAAAUGAAAUACUUCACUUUGACAUUUCCAGAUACAUUUUUGUGUAGCAUGUUUGGGGCGUGUUCACCGCUCUUGAUGUCACACAUGGGGCGUGUUCAACGUUGUUGAUGUCGCAGCACUCUGUGAACGCAUCCCAAAAAUCUGUCAGUCUGACAUUUGACUUUUGAAGUUGUUGAUGUUUUCCUUCCUCUUGAUGUUUCGCAAAAUAAAUGUCUCGGAAUAUUUUAUAUCACAGAGAUUUAAGUUCUGCGUAAAUUUUGCUUUUAGAAAGCGGUCCAGCAGAAAAUGGUUUUUAAAUCGUGGUUCCGGUGCAAAGGCAUCGCAUCAACUUCCGGCAGGAAGUGAACGUUUCGGGUGUGAGGGACCUUCGAAUCGAGGCGAUGCGGACAAAGUGAACCAGAGUGUUGCAGAUUGACGAAGCUUUACGGAAUAGGAAGAACAACAUGGUGGUCAACGCGAAGAAGCCGCUUCCGGUUGUGAUGCAGUGAUUUUGUAAUGACGUCCCAAACUACGAUGAAAGGCUUUCGGGAGGGAUCUGGUCCAAAUACAAGCGUGGAGAAAUUACCAGAAUGCUGCUUCAGGGGACCUUCGACCAGUCUACCACACUUGGAGCGCUGCAGUUUUGCUUCCUGCUGUCGAUCAUGGUAGGAGUAGAAGUUUGGCCACGACAGAAGCAAUCACCAUCUUAGCAUCGAAUUAGAAUUCGCACGAUAUUCAGACUCAAUCGAAGAGCGUGUUCUAAUGAUCGUCAAGCAAAAAAUAAUGUUGACCACUAUCCGGAAUGGGUAGUAAGGGCGCCAACUUUACCAAACAAAAGUUGGACGAUAUUCUGCGUUUUGGUACGGAGGAACUGUUCAAGGAAGACUGCAAGGAUAACCACGAUUUCAAGAGCGUUGAGGCGAAAAGUUACCACCAAGAAAAAAGUGAAGAUCAUCUAGCAAGACGCGGACAGUUCCGAUCCCGCGUACUCCGUCAUCACUUUCAACAGAAGCAGGAAGGCAUGUCACGCCAAGAGCUUUCUCAGGGGGUACUGGAAGACAAACCACAAACGAAACAAACCUAAAUAUUUUGAACAAAAUAUUAUUUUCCCAACAAAAAGAAUCGUACAAACUUAAGACCUAAUUCAAAGAACAAGCUUUGCUGGUUCAAAAAUUAAAAAAUGACAAUUUCAUCAUUUUUUCCCCAGUUUACGAUAACCGAACACUUAAACCAAUUUUCAACAGCUUUUUUAAUUUCAAGUUCUUAUAACAAGCAUUUCUGUUAUAAAAACUAUUAUUAGGUACUUAUAAAAAAUAUUUAAGUUUAGUUAGAUUAAAAAGUUUAUGUUUGGUAAUUUAAAAAAAAUAAACCAUGAGUAUUACAAUAGUCUUAUUAAGAUCUUGGUUAUUUGUUAAAGUUUGAUUUUUUAUGUUUUCUCUAUCUCUGUUUUCAUACAAAUAUAGGAGCAGUACAAAUAAUACAAAUGAUAUGUGAAAAGCUUGAAAAAAAUUGUAUCUUAUAUAUUUUAAACAAUCCAAUCAUAUAAAAAUAAAGGUUCUAUGAUGUUCUUGUUUCUCAAAAAAAAUACAAAUUAUUUUCGAAAACACACAACAAAAUCAUAAAAAAUAA